UAGGAGAGUUUCAUAAACACCGGAGCCAGCUAAUUUGUUUCGUCUCUGAGAACGAACUCAAGAAAUGGACUGAGGCAGCAGAGAGAAAUAAAAAAUGGGGGAAUUCUCUGAGGGUUGUUGCCCUCUCUCUGCAUGCCAAUGAUUUCAUUCAAAUCGAAAGAAAAACUAACAACCCUUCUCAGUUUUUAAGUACUCAUGCGUGUAUUUAUGUGUAUAUAUAUAUAUAUCUGUAUGUGAUCUCUGGGGCGGUGGAUCUCUGGUUAUUGCUAAUAUGGAAUACUGGCUUCUACUUCACAUUUCCAACACCACCUUUACCAAUGCAAUCUCCUUUUUUAUCUCAGACUUAGCUCCUUUCCACUGUUAUAGGCUGUGACGAUCGAAUUCGAUUGCUCUUGGGUUCAUCUGGGCAUUGAGGUUAUUCGACCCGCAUCUUGGCGGGGCAACCCGGAUGGCCUGUGGAUUGAUUUUGGGCAACUGUGGUUUUGCAGCCAUGGCGGUGUCUCUCCUUCUUUGCCUGAUUACAUCACGGAUCUGAGCCUUACUUAUAUCCACAUUUUAAAAAUAAAUAUCCACACGGGGCGGACACGAAGCUCAAUGCUUUCAGGUCAGCCCGCACCAUUUCUUUGAUUGGCUAUGGCUUUUCUCCCAUUGAGGAUUGAGACAAUAAGCAAUUGGCAGGUUUUACGUCCUUCAUGUCUAGUUUAAAGGUUUUUUGAAAAAAAAAAUGAAGAAAGAAAAAGAGGGAAGAGGAAGGGCAAAUUGAUAAUCUUAAUUAAAUAAUGUGACUUUUAUUUUAUGUCUUGGGCACUAAGUUUGGUCUUUUAAUUUUAAGAAAAUGAAAAAAAUUAUAAUAA